UAGGGAAUCUUCGGCAAUGGGGGGAACCCUGACCGAGCAACGCCGCGUGAGUGAAGAAGGUUUUCGGAUCGUAAAGCUCUGUUGUUAAGGAAGAACGAGUGUGAGAAUGGAAAGUUCAUACUGUGACGGUACUUAACCAGAAAGGGACGGCUAACUACGUGCCAGCAGCCGCGGUAAUACGUAGGUGGCAAGCGUUGUCCGGAUUUAUUGGGCGUAAAGCGAGCGCAGGCGGUCAAUUAAGUCUGAUGUGAAAGCCCCCGGCUCAACCGGGGAGGGUCAUUGGAAACUGGUUGACUUGAGUGCAGAAGGGGAGAGUGGAAUUCCAUGUGUAGCGGUGAAAUGCGUAGAUAUAUGGAGGAACACCAGUGGCGAAGGCGACUCUCUGGUCUGUAACUGACGCUGAGGCUCGAAAGCGUGGGUAGCAAACAGG
rnacentral:rRNA from 1 species